GUUCGUUCCUAAAUUGUCCUGUUUCAUCUACUUUGUGGACAUAUUUGAUAAACUGGUCUUAUUGCCUCACAUUUAUCCACCCGAUAACAUGAGGAUGGUUUGUUUUGAAGCUUCAGAAAAUUAUUAUCAUUCUUCGUAUAUCAGACUGAUAAAAGGAACUGCUCACAUUCUGUGACUAGGUCCAGAUGCUGAAAGAUGUCACAGGGGAAAGAUGACGAUUGUUAAUUCAGUAGACAGCAAAAAUUCAGGUAACAUGAUGAUAAUACAUAAAAGAAGAAAGGAGAAUUGGACUUGACGCCAGCCCAGAUGACUUUAAAUGUCAGGUGACUGGACGAAGAAUUUAUUCGCCACCAGAUGGUUGAUAUCUCCAUUCGCUACAUUGCAGAGUUUAAAAACUUAAACAGACCCCCCGUCGAUGUAGGGAUGGGGGACAACUUUCUUCCGCAAGAAAAGUGGCAAGUUUCAACAUUUUUUCCAGAUCCCGCUCAAUCCAACUCAACCGUAGUGGAUAACACGUGAAACUUUUCAGCCUGUUUGCUUAGACACGACCGGAAGCGGCCAUUAUGCGCAUGCGUUUGCAGAGCAAUUUCGUCGUCACUGUCGUUUAGCCGCACAAAAUGGCGGCCCUUUGUCGCCAAGCUGCUGCCCGUCGGAGUGGCUUGGCCGGCAGGGAGGGACCGGGAGGGUGGCGGGAGGUGCUGGCAGCUUUUGAUGCCUCCACGAUAAUGCAACAGACAGUUGGUCUUUGUCGUCUGCCUCAAGGGCCGGUCGACAUGCAAAUGCAAGAGAGAUGUUUCAACACAGGGAGGCUUUGCACUGACUGUGAGGCGACAUGGUCACCGACACUGUCAACAGAUGACGACGGUGCGGCAGGUGCGCGCGGCAGGUGAUUUGCACGCGCUGGUGCGUGUGUGCACACGUUUUGGCGAGUGUGUGCGAACACGCGUUCCAGAGCUGACACUAUAGGCAUGCGAGUGUCCCAACACUAGUACUAGGACCGUGUGAACAUGAAGUUCUUGUUGUCAAAGAGAGGACAAAGUUUACACCUGUCGGUGUCAGCGUGCAUGCAAGCGUGUCUGUGUGAAUGUGCGCGUAUUCUAAGAUUUAUUUAUAUUAAUCACUUUUAUUUUUUUAUAGAAAUGCGUAAUA